rnacentral:rRNA from 1 species
CGGCGGACGGGUGAGUAACGCGUAGGAAUCUACCCAGUAGUGGGGGACAACAUGGUGAAAGCCAUGCUAAUACCGCAUACGCCCUAAGGGGGAAAGCGGGGGACCUUCGGGCCUCGCGCUAUUGGAUGAGCCUGCGUCGGAUUAGCUUGUUGGUGAGGUAAAAGCUCACCAAGGCGACGAUCCGUAGCUGGUCUGAGAGGAUGAUCAGCCACACUGGAACUGAGACACGGUCCAG